ACGACUCAUCUGGCAUAUACAAGCGAAGAGUCAGUUUCGAUUUUCCCGAGUUACGAAGCACUGUAAUAUGACAAACGUUUUCAUAUUUAUCUUACUUGCUUAUUUUUCUACUCCCACGUCGAUCUCGUCUCGGCCAAUCGAUCGUUGGCCAUGUGGCGAUCAAGACAAGGACGGAUGUGUGAAUUCGUGUAGUGAAAAAUACCGUGAUCUCAAAGUGGCAAGUUGCACAGUUAAGUUCAGAGAGUCGCUCGAUAUAAACAAUCCGGAGGAAAACGUGGUAGACUGUAGAUGUGCGUCAAGCGCAUCUGUUCUAUCUAACGUUCUCCGGAAUCCAAUUUCGAUGAUUUUAUUAAUAUUUUUAUCCGCGUAUAGUGUUGUUCGGUGAAUAAUAAUUUUGAUCAUUUAAUUUAUAGCGUUUGUCGAUUAUAACGAGUUAAUAAAAGUAGACAAUAAUUGUU